rnacentral:rRNA from 1 species
UACUGAGGUGGCAAGCGUUGCUCGGAAUCACUGGGCGUAAAGGGCGCGUAGGCGGGGAGGUAAGUCGGGUGUGAAAUCCCUUGGCCCAACCGAGGAACUGCGCCCGAGACUGCUUCUCUUGAGUCCCGGAGAGGAAGGUGGAAUUCCUGGUGUAGCGGUGGAAUGCGCAGAUAUCAGGAGGAACACCGAUGGCGAAGGCAGAUCUCUGGGCCGUAACUGACGCUGAGGAGCGAAAGCAUGGGGAGCGAACAGG